GUAGCCUACGGGGGGCAGCAGUGAGGAAUAUUGGUCAAUGGCCGGAAGGCUGAACCAGCCAAGUCGCGUGAGGGACGACUGCCCUAUGGGUUGUAAACCUCUUUUAUAAGGGAAGAAUAAAUGCUACGUGUAGCAUGAUGCCUGUACCUUAUGAAUAAGCAUCGGCUAACUCCGUGCCAGCAGCCGCGGUAAUACGGAGGAUGCGAGCGUUAUCCGGAUUUACUGGGUGUAAAGGGUACGUAGGCGGCCCUGCAAGUCAGAAGUGAAAUCCAUGGGCUUAACCCGUGAACUGCUUUUGAAACUGC
rnacentral:rRNA from 1 species